rnacentral:rRNA from 1 species
CAGUAGCCACGGGAAAACGAAGGGGGCUAGCGUUGUUCGGAAUUACUGGGCGUAAAGGGCGCGUAGGCGGCCAUUCAAGUUAGAUGUGAAAGCCCUGGGCUCAACCUAGGAAUUGCAUUUGAUACUGUUUGGCUUGAGUUCGGGAGAGGUGAGUGGAAUUCCCAGUGUAGAGGUGAAAUUCGUAGAUAUUGGGAAGAACACCAGUGGCGAAGGCGGCUCACUGGACCGACACUGACGCUGAGGCGCGAAAGCGUGGGGAGCAAACAGGAUUAGAUACCCCCGUAGUCCCUGUCUCUUAUAC